rnacentral:rRNA from 4 species
AGAGUUUGAUCCUGGCUCAGGAUGAACGCUAGCGGUGUGUUUAAGAUAUGCAAGUCGAACGUCCUGACAGUGCUUGCACUGUCUGGUAGUGGCGGACGGCUGAGUAACACGUAGGAACCUACCUUUCGGUAGAGAAUAGCUUCGGGAAACCGGGGGUAAUACUCUAUACCCAGGUGUCGCAAGAUACUUGGAAAGGGCAUAACUGCUCGCCGUAAGAGGGGCCUGCGGCCUAUCAGGUAGUUGGUGGGGUAAUAGCCUACCAAGCCUAUGACGGGUAGCUGACCUCAUGAGGGUGAUCAGCCAGAGGAGCACUGAGACACGGGCUCCACACCUACGGGUGGCAGCAAUCAAGAAUCGUUGGCAAUGGGCGAAAGCCUGACCACGCGACACCGCGUGUAGGAAGAAAUCUCUUGGGAUGUAAACUACUGUGGUAGGGGAAGAAGUCUCGGCGAAUGCCGGAUUGACGGUACCCUACUAGAAAGUGGCCGCUAACUUCGUGCCAGAAGCGUCGGUGAUACGGGGGCCACGAGCGUUAUCCGGUGUGACUGGGCGUAAAGGGUCUGUAGGCGUCCCGAUAAGUUUUCGUUUAAAGAUCAAGGCUCAACCUUGAAACAGGUGAAAAAACUAUCGGGAUAGAGUUAUUUUUAGGGAAAUCGGAAUUGACGGAGGAGUAGUGAAAUGCGUUGAUAUCGUCAAGAACACCAAUGGCGAAGGCAGAUUUCUGGAAAAUAACUGACGCUGAAAGACGAAAGCUAGGGGAGCGAACCGGAUUAGAGACCCGGGUAGUCCUAGCCCUAAACGAUGCUCGCUAGUUGCAUUUUCUCCCGAUUUAUUUUGGGAGAGGGUGUGGCGAAGCUAACGCGUUAAGCGAGCCGCCUGGGGAGUACGACCGCAAGGUUGAAACUCAAAGGAAUUGGCGGGGAGACACACAACUAGUGGAACAUGUGGUUUAAUUCGAGACAAACCGUAGCACCUCACCAGGGCUUGACAUCCUAACGGCGAUCUUAUGAAAGUAGGAUUUUCCGCAAGGACGUUAGGACAGCUGUUGCAUGGCUGUCGUCAGUUCGUUCCGUGAGGAGUGCCCUUAAGUGGGACAACGAACGUAACCCUUGUCCCGAGUUACACGUAUCUCGGGAGACUGCCCCGCCGAUGGCGGGGAGGAAGGAGAGGCAGACGUCAAGUCAGCAUGACGCUUAUGCCCUGGGCGACACACAUGUUACAAUGAGAUGGACAAUGGGUUGCUAAACGGUAACGCGGAGCUAAUCCUAUAAACCAUCUCUCAGUGGGGAUUGAGGUCUGAAACUCGACCUCAUGAACGUGGAAUUAGUAGUAAUCGCGGAUCAGCCAUGCCGCGGUGAAUACGUUCUUGUCUCUUGCACACACUGCCCGUCAAGCCAACAAAGUCGGGAGUACCUGAACCCUGCUUUUGCGGGGGAGGGUAAGACCGGCGAUGGGGACUAAGUCGUAACAAGGUACCCGUUCUGGAAGGAGCGGGUGAAUCACCUCCUUUC